rnacentral:rRNA from 1 species
UACGUAGGGGGCAAGCGUUACUCGGAUUCACUGGGCGUAAAGCGCGUGUAGGCGGCUGGUCAAGCGUGGUGUGAAAUCUCCGGGCUCAACCCGGAAACUGCACCGCGAACUGGCCUGGCUGGAGUGCAGGAGAGGGAAGGGGAAUUCCCGGUGUAGCGGUGAAAUGCGUAGAUAUCAGGAGGAACACCAGUGGCGAAGGCGGUGCUCUGGGCCGGAACUGACGCUGAGGAGCGAAAGCGUGGGGAGCAAACAGG